AUGCAAUAUCUUCACAGACACUGGGUACAGGCGAAUCAAAGGACNGUCGGAAGAGCCACUAAACCAGCACAACACACGGGAGGAACUUCCAGUGGUGACUCCCCGUUCAUCCACCGGCCACUGCACACGUCAGACCGCGCUGCAGAAACCGUAAUUUGCUUUUGUUCCCUUCUGAAGGGGGAGGACUUCCGGUUCCCAGGCCUGAUCUNCUCAGCUGGCUUGAAGAAGAAGGAAACGAGAGAGUUCAAUGCAAGUUGGUGUCCUGAGGAAGGUGAAAGUUCAGCAGGCCCAGCAGUUAACAAACUGGCUGGACAGAGGGCAAUCCAAACAAGAGACUUGCUUUUUUCUGGAAGUGUGAAGGAAAAGAAUGAGUCCGCNGGGUGUGUCACAAUAUUUACAUUUAAAGGAGAAGAGCAUCAAGAAAUUCAAACAACCUAGGGUACAGGAGGGGUUUCAUGGGCAGUUCAAAUCUCACAGAAGAAUAUCAGAAGUUCCACAAAGGAGAAAAACCAUGCAAAUACAUGGAAUGUGGAAGGAGAUUCAGCAGUACCUCACACCUUAGUCAACAUUAGAGAAUCCAUACAUGAGGGAAACCAUAUAAAUGCAUGAAUUGUNGGAAAAGAUCCAGCAGUGAACAUCAGAGGAUCCAUACCAAACAGAAACCAUACAAAAGCAUGGAAAGUGGAAAGUGCUUCACUCGGAGUUCCCAUCUUAAUUGGCAUCAGAGGAUCCAUACAAGGGAGAAACCAUAUAAAGGAAAAGAGUAUGGGGAAAGGUUCCUCAUUAUCUCAAACAUCAUUCAACAUCANAUUAAUCAUAUAAGAGGAAAACCUUAUAAAUUCAUGGAGUUUAGAAAAUGCUUCUGGAAAACACCAGCACCCAAGAUUUGCUGAGCGAGAAACCCUAUAAAUUUACAAAGUGUGGGAAGAACUUCAGUUGCUGUUCAUAUCUCAGGAUUCACACUGGUGGAAAAACCCUAUAAAUGCAUGGAGUGUAGAAAGAGUUUCUGAUGGAAUUCACAGCAGAAUUGACGUUAUAGGAUUCGUACUGCAGAAAA
rnacentral:lncRNA from 1 species